CGGAGGAUCCAAGCGUUAUCCGGAAUCAUUGGGUUUAAAGGGUCCGUAGGCGGUUUGGUAAGUCAGUGGUGAAAGCCCAUCGCUCAACGAUGGAACGGCCAUUGAUACUGCCAGACUUGAAUUACUGGGAAGUAACUAGAAUAUGUAGUGUAGCGGUGAAAUGCUUAGAUAUUACAUGGAAUACCAAUUGCGAAGGCAGGUUACUACCGGUGUAUUGACGCUGAUGGACGAAAGCGUGGGGAGCGAACAGGAUUAGAUACCCUGGUAGUCCACGCCGUAAACGAUGGAUACUAGCUGUUCGGGGCAACCUGAGUGGCUAAGCGAAAGUGAUAAGUAUCCCACCUGGGGAGUACGUUCGCAAGAAUG
rnacentral:rRNA from 1 species